ensembl:snRNA U2 U2 spliceosomal RNA
AUCACUUCUUAGCCUUUUGGCUAAGAUCAGGUAUAGUAUCUGUAAUAUGCUCAGAAAAGGCUUUCACUGUCUUUAUUACACCUCUAAAUUAUUUCUAGAUUUUCCCUCUCUUUGCUGUCUGUGUGUGUGUGCACAAGCAUGUUUGCAAGUGUAGACAGAUACAUGCCUUAUACUUAAUUUAAAGUAGUAUUUGGCUUAAAAUUG